rnacentral:rRNA from 1 species
GACCUCGGAUCAGGUAGGGAUACCCGCUGAACUUAAGCAUAUCAAUAAGCGGAGGAAAAGAAACCAACAGGGAUUGCCUCAGUAACGGCGAGUGAAGCGGCAACAGCUCAAAUUUGAAAUCUGGCUCUCUCAGGGCCCGAGUUGUAAUUUGUAGAAGAUGCUUUGAGCGUGGCUCCGGUCUAAGUUCCUUGGAACAGGACGUCAUAGAGGGUGAGAAUCCCGUAUGUGACUGGGCGCCUACGUUCGUGUAAAGCUCUUUCGACGAGUCGAGUUGUUUGGGAAUGCAGCUCAAAAUGGGUGGUAAAUUUCAUCUAAAGCUAAAUAUUGGCCAGAGACCGAUAGCGCACAAGUAGAGUGAUCGAAAGAUGAAAAGCACUUUGGAAAGAGAGUUAAACAGUACGUGAAAUUGUUGAAAGGGAAGCGC